AUGCUCCUCCCAGUGCGCGGCCUCCCGGCCGCCCCUCAUCGCCCGCUCACCCACCCACACAGCUCCCCCGCGCCGCCGCCCUCCCUCCUCGGUGCCCGGCGCCGCCGUCCGUCCCGGAGGCUCUCCAAGGUCGUGUCCUACUACGGCCUCACCACUCCGCCGUACAAAACCGACGCCCUGGAGCCGUACAUGAGCAGGCGGGCGGUGGAGCUGCACUGGGGCAAGCACCAGCAGGAGUACGUGGACGGGCUCAACAGGCAGCUCGCCAUCAGCCCGCUCUACGGCCACACCCUCGAGGACCUCAUCAAGGAGGCCUACAACAACGGCAACCCGCUGCCCGAGUACAACGACGCGGCCGAGGUCUGGAACCAUCACUUCUUCUGGGAAUCGAUGCAGCCGGAAGGCGGCGGCUCGCCCGAGGCGGGCGUGCUGCAGCAGAUCGAGAAGGAUUUCGGCUCCUUUUUUAAUUUCAGGGAGGAGUUCAUGCGCUCGGCGUUGUCGUUGUUGGGGUCUGGUUGGGUUUGGCUUGUCUUGAAGAGAAGCGAGAGGAAGCUCGAGGUGGUUCACACCCGAAAUGCUAUCAACCCACUUGCUUUUGGGGAUAUUCCAAUCAUCAGCCUAGACUUGUGGGAGCAUGCUUACUACUUAGAUUACAAGGAUGACAGGCGAACAUAUGUGUCAAACUUUCUGGAUCACCUUGUGUCUUGGCAUACUGUCACUGUACGCAUGAUGCGCGCGGAGGCUUUUGUUAACCUUGGUGAACCAACUAUCCCAGUGGCAUGA
rnacentral:rRNA from 1 species